GCGACUCCCCGCCAACCACUAAUAAAUGUUAUUACUGAAAAAUAACUGCGGAAUAGUGUCUUGACAGCUAAGUGAGGCAGUGAAGACACCAGCACACACUUUGGAAGUGUGGUCAAGGAAAAAAUUGUACUGGAUGAGCAGAUUAAGGAUGAAAUACACAAAACCCUCCACAGCCAUACAGAAGAGAUUCUUCCCCACAAAGUUCCAUCUGAAUGGAUCCAUGAAAAAGUUAGCGACCCAGUAGACCAGAGGGCUGACUCCACUAACAAACUGCAGAUGCUUGGCUUUGGUGACACGUUCCUGAAUGAGGUAGAGGAUGAAGCUGGCUGGGAUGAAGGACAUGGCAAAGAUGACACAGAUGGCCACCACUGCAUCCACUGAUGUGGUCAGACUGUCCAAAAGGAAAAGAAGAAUUUUUAUUCACAAAAGACUACUUUAUAUGUUUUUCUUACAAAAUCAUUAGCUAUACGGUUGUUCAGUAUUUAUACUUACGCAUUAAAACAUUUGAAAUGAA